rnacentral:rRNA from 1 species
GACGAACGCUGGCGGCGCGCCUAACACAUGCAAGUCGAACGAGCGAGAGAGAGCUUGCUUUCUCGAGCGAGUGGCGAACGGGUGAGUAACGCGUGAGGAACCUGCCUCAAAGAGGGGGACAACAGUUGGAAACGACUGCUAAUACCGCAUAAGCCCACGGGUCGGCAUCGACCAGAGGGAGAAGGAGCAAUCCGCUUUGAGAUGGCCUCGCGUCCGAUUAGCUAGUUGGUGAGGUAAUGGCCCACCAAGGCGACGAUCGGUAGCCGGACUGAGAGGUUGAACGGCCACAUUGGGACUGAGACACGGCCCAGACUCCUACGGGAGGCAGCAGUGGGGAAUAUUGCACAAUGGGGGAAACCCUGAUGCAGCGACGCCGCGUGGAGGAAGAAGGUCUUCGGAUUGUAAACUCCUGUUGUUGAGGAAGAUAAUGACGGUACUCAACAAGGAAGUG